AAAGCUCCUCUCUGCAACUAUUGGAGCUCGUCCCUGGAAAUGGCGAGCAAGCUGAAGGUUGAUGAACUCCGUAAGCAACUGGCUCGACGUGGACUCGACACCUCCGGAACUAAGCCCGCUCUGGUUCAUCGCCUGGAAUCCGCCAUUCGCGAGGAGGAAGAAUCGUUAAAAGAUGGAGGUGCUACUGCAGCUGGUGGGAAGAAGAGGGGGAGGGACUCGGAAGAUACUGGAAAUCCCGAUGGAGGUGACUUAAUCGGAGCUGUCGAGAAGUUGCGGGAAAUGAAUGUGCAGCAGCUGCGGGAGGAAGCGGUUCGUCGUGGCAUUUCUUCCAAUGGGUUGAAGAAGGAGUUGCUGAAGAGGCUUUGUGAAGAUGUGGAGAAGGAAGAAGGGGAAGAUGCAGAAGACGAAACUGACGAAAGUAAGGAUGGAAAUGUUGGUACCAAGGAGAAGAUUAUUACUGCGACCAAAAAGGGUGCAGCGGUGCUGGACCAGUGGCUUCCUGAUCAAGUCAAGAUAGAGUAUCAUGUUCUGCAAGUGGGUGACGAAAUUUAUGAUGCCAUGUUGAAUCAGACAAAUGUUGGACACAACAAUAACAAGUUUUAUGUGAUUCAAGUUCUUGAAUCUGAUGGUGGUGGUACUUACAUGGUUUACACUAGGUGGGGAAGAGUAGGUGUGAAGGGUCAAGACAAUUUACAAGGCCCUUUCAAAUCACAAGAAAGUGCAAUACAGGAAUUUCAACAGAAAUUCUUUGCUAAAACAAAGAAUCACUGGUCUAACAGAAAAGGGUUCAUUUGUCACCCAAAAAGUUAUACCUGGUUGGAGAUGGACUACAGCGAAAAUGAAAAAGAAUUAUCGGUCAAUGAGAUACGUGAAUCCACUUCAGAGAUUCAACCUUGUGAGACGAAACUCGAUCCAUGCAUUGCAAAGUUUAUCUCUCUCAUUUGCAACAUUAGCAUGAUGAAGCAACAAAUGAUGGAAAUUGGGUACAAUGCUGAAAAGUUGCCACUUGGAAAACUGAGCAAAUCUACAAUUUUAAAGGGUUAUGAGGUCUUGAAACGAAUUUCUGAUGUGAUUGGUCUGUCAAAGAGAAGUCUACUUGAGCAACUAAGUGGGGAGUUUUACACUGUAAUUCCUCAUGACUUUGGAUUUAAGAAGAUGCGCGAAUUUGUGAUUGACACCCCUCAAAAAUUGAAAAGCAAGUUGGAAAUGGUUGAGGCGUUAGGUGAAAUUGAGCUUGCCACAAAACUAUUGGAGGAAGUUAAUGGCAUGCAGGAAGAUCCCUUGUAUUCUCAUUACCAACGCCUUCAUUGUGAACUAUCACCAGUUGAAGCUGACUCUGAAGAAUUCUCUAUGGUUUCAAAGUAUGCACAUAAUACACAUGCAGAAACACAUUCAAAUUAUGCCGUUGAUAUUGUUCGAAUAUUUAGGGUAUCAAGAAAGGGAGAAAAUGAGCGUUUUGAAAAGUUUUCUAAUACGAAGAACAGGAAGCUGUUGUGGCAUGGUUCUCGGCUUACAAAUUGGACUGGCAUUCUUUCCCAAGGUUUGCGCAUAGCUCCACCUGAAGCACCCGUAACAGGUUAUAUGUUUGGGAAGGGGGUUUACUUUGCCGAUAUGUUCUCCAAAAGUGCAAACUAUUGUUAUGCAUCUAAUGCCGCCACAACCGGUGUGCUGCUUUUAUGUGAGGUUGCGCUCGGUGACAUGGCUGAACUUCUAGAUGCAAAAUACGAUGCAGACAAUUUGCCCGAGGGCAAGCUCAGCACGAAGGGAGUAGGACAAACAGAACCAAAUAUCUCCAAAGCUGUGACGCUCGAUGAUGGUGUCGUUGUUCCCUUGGGAAAACCAAAACACAAUCAGCGUCAUAAGGGCGCCUUGUUGUAUAAUGAGUAUAUAGUGUACAAUGUGGAUCAAAUUAGGAUGCGCUAUGUUGUUCAAGUGAAUUUCCGUUUUAAAUAUUGAACUGGCAGCACAAAGCAUUGCUCAGUUCAAUCUCCAAGUGUCCCAGUUCUAGGCAAAAAGAAAAGAAAAAGCAGUGAGAAGAAUGAUGGGUGAAUGGGCAACAAGUAAAGUAACCUAUUAUUUUUCUUGUUCUUGUGGGAGAUCGGGGAAAAAGAUACAACCAGUUCAAGAAUCAAUUGCAGAGACAAAGAUUUCAAACCAAUGAGGUACAAUUUUUGUUUUGUUGUGUUGCUGUUCUUCUUGAUUCGUCUCCCAAAAGUCAAACACGCUUCUCUUUCAAAAGUCUCCUUCUAGAUUCCACCCUUACCUCACUUUCAAUCUAUCCUCUUCUCCCACAACAUAUGUAUAUCCAUCUCCACCACACCUUGAAUUACUUUCUUUUUUGUUUUUUGGAUACGUUUAGUUUAUUUUAGUUACGGGUGUUCACGGGUUUGGUUGA